GAAGACCCGCCGAAUUUCCACUCGCACCAUUGUGUCCCCAGCACCUAGCAGAUCUUGACAGAACAGAGACUGAAUAUCUGUUCAAAUAAGGGAGGAAGGAGCCAACCCAGACACCAUCAUGCAACUCCACGCACCCCAACUCUAUCUUUCUCCAAAACAUCAGUGUGUGAACCGGCAUGAUCAUCAAGGAUGUCCCUAACGAAGAGGGAGGACAGUAAGAACAAGAGAGAGCCCCAGCAGGGGAGAUGCAGAGGGAGGGACAGAAGAAGCAAGCUAUGCACCCACAGCAGAGAGCUCAAUGGGGGACUCAAACUCAUGAAUGGUGUUCGAGGUCAACACCAACAGUGAUAAGUCAUGUUGAUGUCUGAGAAACUGCCACAGCCCAGAGGAACCUAAGGGGUCGUGAGAUAAAUGCUAAGUGGCAUCCUGGAUGGGAUCCUGGCAUAGAAAAAAGACAUCAGGUAAAAACUAAGGAAAUUUGAAUGAACUAUGAACUUUAGCUACUAACAGUGUAUCAUUAUUUAACAAAUGUAUCAUGUUAAUAUAAUAUGUUAAUAAUAGAGGAGAGAGGGUGGGUGGGGGAUAAAGAAUUUUGUAUUAUCUUCACAAUUUUUCUAUAAAUGUAAAAGUGUUCUAAAACAUAAGGUUUAUUUUUAAAAACACGGCACAAGGCUUUGUUUAUUUACACUUUAGAGUGUCAAAGCCAUUACACUGCCUACCUUGAAAAUGGAAUUUCCUCAAUGGAUUAAAAUAAAUAUUCAUUUAUCCUACAGUUUUAAUAUGUUUUGAAUCCAGGAGUUAAAUUGAUCAAUAAAAGUUGGCUACCAAUUACUUAGGUCAAUGUCUUAUGAACUCAGCGUCAAAAACGCAGCGUCGUUAAUUUGUAUGUAGUUGUAAUACAAACAAGGAAAGACGACUGGUUCCUUGAUCAUUUUAACUUCGAUGAAAAUACCUGUGAUGAAAGAAAUCCACAUAGAGCAGAUAUCAACCCCAAUGCUUGCAUUUUGCUUGCCUAAAAUUGUUUAGUACAGAACGACUUAUAUUGUUGUGUAAUUGGAACAAUUUUGUUCUCCUUAAAUAAAAUACCAGCCAAAGAUCAUUCAGGCUGCAACUGACAAAAGGCGUUACUACUAGUUUCUUCUAAUUUAGAGAAUUCCCUUUUUUUUUUUUUUUUUAAAAUCGAGAGUCUUGUUGCUACAUUGAAGCUAAAAGGAGAGCGGGGUCGAAGCCCAUUGGUGGUGUCCCUGGGCCGAGGGCAGGACUCUAAGCCAAGGGGCCUGCCCAUUGGUGGGCUGCCCGGCAGCUGUGGGGCAGGGGCGCCUGGGAUGGAGCUCGCAACCCAUUGGCUGCGUCGCUGGAGGAUGGUGUAAUGGACCGCCAAGGCCUGUGCAGCCGGUUUCUACAGCAACGGAGGCUUGAAAGAGCCACUCAGAUUUCGGCGUUCACCCCCAACUCCCCCUUCCGGAGGGGGCAGGGCGGCCUGGAUUUGAGGGCCGGAGAGGAAGGCGUGGGGGAUGGGAGUUAAGGGGACAGAGCCUUCCUCCGACCAAAGCUACCUUGCAAAGCAACAUUUGAACUGGGUUCGAGGAACCUGGCCUGCGUGUUCACUGGGGGGGGGAAUCUGCCAAACAGCCAUAAAGAAGAAAGCGGAAAAUGAUAUAUAAUACCGUCCCUCCCUGAUUUUUCCAUUGGUAAUAUCUUGCAUGCGAACGAGCACAAAGCCCGGCACAGAGUAGGGCCUCAAUACUUAAUGGGAGGGAGAAAGAAAAGGAAGGGAGGAAGGAAGAGAAAGGGGAGACGGAGGGAGGAGGAUCCAUGAUGUGGGCAACGUGGCGUGAGACAAAGUGCCCGCCCUACUGGGCUGAAAUUCCACAGUCAGACCCCGAGAACUGAGGGGGAAUGAUGGCCUUAGGAACGGGGGCUUGAAGGAGAGUGGGGUCGCCGGGGCGCUGGCGGAGGGAGGGGGGCGGCUUACAGGCUCCUGGCUCUGGAUAUUUGGAAGACCUGACUCUGCAGUAAGACGCCCUGGGUUCACAUUCCCGCGAGCUCUGUCACUUGCCAGCUGCCAGUGCUUCAAACUCUCCGGAUCCCGGUGUCUUUGUGUUUGGGGAGUAAUAAUACUUCAUUGAGUUGGUGUCAGAACUGAGUUAAGAUAAUGCAUGUCAAGUUCUUAAAACAAUGCCCGAAACAUAAUAAAUGUGCAAUCACCAGUAGCUGUUUUCCCAAUUGAAGAGGGGUGGGAUCUAAGCGGAGAGAAUAGGGCGGUUGUCAUUGUUGGGUAAGGAGGGAGG